UGGGUAACCUGCCUCAAAGAGGGGAAUAGCCUCCCGAAAGGGAGAUUAAUACCGCAUAAUAUGUUUAAGUCGCAUGACUUUAACAUCAAAGGAUUUUCUUUUAGAAAUUCCACUUUGAGAUGGACCCGCGGCGCAUUAGCUAGUUGGUGAGGUAACGGCUCACCAAGGCAACGAUGCGUAGCCGACCUGAGAGGGUGAUCGGCCACAUUGGAACUGAGACACGGUCCAGCUCCUAGGAG
rnacentral:rRNA from 1 species